rnacentral:rRNA from 1 species
UACGAAGGGGGCUAGCGUUGUUCGGAUUUACUGGGCGUAAAGGGCGCGUAGGCGGGCUGAUCAGUCAGGGGUGAAAUCCCAAGGCUCAACCUUGGAACUGCCUUUGAUACUGUCGGUCUUGAGUUCGAGAGAGGUAAGUGGAACUGCGAGUGUAGAGGUGAAAUUCGUAGAUAUGACAUAGAACACCAAUUGCGAAGGCAGCUUGCUACACGGAUAUUGACUCUGAGGCACGAAAGCGUGGGGAUCAAACAGG